rnacentral:tRNA from 1 species
AAUACUAUGACUGAUAAAAGUGAUAAAUUGUAAAUUUAUUUAUGAAAUAAAAAUUUCUAGUAUUA